AUGCGAGCAAGGGUCGGGUCCCCGCCGCGCCCUAGAGCACGGUCUGGAUCCAGAGGCCCCGGAAUGCCUGCACCCCAGGGUGCGGGCUCCCUGGGUCGGGUGGAGGGUCCCGGCGGAAUUCCCUUCCUGCAGCCGUGCUGCAGGGGUCCGCUCACACCCGGCUUGGCGCAGGAGAGGAGGGGAAAGUGUCCCCUGGGAAGGUGGAAAGAUCCUCUCUCCUGUGGGUCUCCCCUCCCCUGUCAUUUAUACCCCCCCCCCCCACACACACACUUUGGAGUUCGUCUCAGCAUCUGCGGGAGGGCGCGGGCCAGGCCCCGGCGGCGGGGGCGCGAGGACCCGGGAGCGCCGGCCUCGGUCUUUGGCUGCUUCGGGCUGAGCACCCGCAGGCGCUCUUCUGCCCAGCGGGCCUCUGGUACUCCUGAUCGUCCCGCUCACCAACACACACCCCCACCCCCCCCACCCCGCCUCCCGCUUCCCGGCCUAAUUCUAGACGCUUCUCGCUCCCGUUCCUGGACGGCUCUUCUCAGGGGCGCCCCCAUCCCCCCUUCCUCUUCCGAGGUCAAGUGCGCUCCCCGAGUCUGUUUGAGUCGGGAGAGCCCCGGGGAGCCACGGGCCCCCUCGAAGAGGCUGGCGGGCGGGCGCGUUUACGGCCAGGGUUCUGGUUUCAGGUGCGCUUCGGGGAGGAGAUGCGGCUGCGGACCGCGGGAGACCGGAGCGGGUCCUGCUGCCGCGUUCAGCCGCCGCGGGGUGGGAGCCGAGGCCCCGCCUGGCCGUGCUCCUCGCGCCGGGAGGGGAAGAGCAGGCCGGGGCAAAGCGAAGCGAGGGGAAGGAGCGAGAGAGCGGCGGAAACGGAGGCGGCGCCGAAAGCAGACGGAGAGCCGAGCCCGAGGGCGCCGCUCUCCCCGCCGGGACCCGCGAGCGGCCUCCCCGCGGCGGUACGCGGGCAAAAGCGUGCCGCAGGCCCGUACGGUGCUUUCUGCUUCGCGGGAGCCGUGGCACGGAAUUGCAUAUUGA
rnacentral:lncRNA from 1 species